rnacentral:siRNA from 1 species
GAAGCCCGUAAUCCCCUAGGUCUG